UCAUCGAGAUACCACAUGUUUAAUUUUGA
rnacentral:piRNA from 1 species